rnacentral:rRNA from 1 species
UCCAUUAAUCAAGAACGAAAGUUAGAGGUUCGAAGGCGAUCAGAUACCGCCCUAGUUCUAACCAUAAACGAUGCCAGCCAGCGAUCCGGCUGUGUUCCUCAAAUGACACGCCGGGCAGCUUCCGGGAAACCAAAGCUUUUGGGUUCCGGGGGAAGUAUGGUUGCAAAGCUGAAACUUAAAGGAAUUGACGGAAGGGCACCACCAGGAAUGGAGCCUGCGGCUUAAUUUGACUCAACACGGGAAAACUUACCCGGCCCGGACACAGGAAGGAUUGACAGAUUAAGAGCUCUUUCUUGAUUCUGUGGGUGGUGGUGCAUGGCCGUUCUUAGUUGGUGGAGCGAUUUGUCUGGUUAAUUCCGAUAACGAACGAGACUCUAGCCUACUAAAUAGACGUUCCGAUCAUCUCCGUCGGACGUUCUUCUUAGAGGGACAAGCGGCGUUUAGCCGCACGAGACAGAGCAAUAACAGGUCUGUGAUGCCCUUAGAUGUCCGGGGCCGCACGCGCGCUACAUUGAAGGAAUCAGCGUGUGCUUUCCCUGUCCGACAGGACUGGGUAACCCGUUGAACCUCCUUCGUGCUGGGGAUAGGGGCUUGUAAUUGUUCCCCUUGAACGAGGAAUUCCCAGUAAGCACGAGUCAUAAGCUCGUGUUGAUUACGUCCCUGCCCUUUGUACACACCGCCCGUCGCUACUACCGAUUGAAUGAUUUAGUGAGGUCUUCGGACUGGCGCUCGGAGCGGCCCUCGGGUCGCGCCGGCGUGCCGGAAAGAUGACCAAACUUGAUCAUUUAGAGGAWGUAAAAGUCGUAACARGGUUUCC